rnacentral:rRNA from 1 species
UACAGAGGUCUCAACCGUUGUUCGGAUUCAUUGGGCGUAAAGGGUGCGUAGGCGGCGGGGUAAGUCAGGUGUGAAAUCUCGGGGCUCAACCCCGAAACUGCACUUGAUACUGCCUCGCUCGAGUACUGGAGAGGAGACUGGAAUUUACGGUGUAGCAGUGAAAUGCGUAGAUAUCGUAAGGAAGACCAGUGGCGAAGGCGGGUCUCUGGACAGUUCCUGACACUGAGGCGCGAAAGCGUGGGGAGCAAACAGG